rnacentral:rRNA from 3 species
UUAAAUUGAAGAGUUUGAUCAUGGCUCAGAUUGAACGCUGGCGGCAGGCCUAACACAUGCAAGUCGAACGGUAACAGGAAGAAGCUUGCUUCUUUGCUGACGAGUGGCGGACGGGUGAGUAAUGUCUGGGAAACUGCCUGAUGGAG